GCCAUGCUUCGGCACGAAUGAGCCGGCUCGACCGGAGUGAUACCACGGCGUCACAGAAAACCGACGUGAAACAACGCUUGCGUUGUGUUUCGUUGUGUGAGUGAGGUUACCGGAGCCCCAAUUACCUCCCUUCCCAAUCUUCCUAAUCCCCGAUUACCCCUUCCCAAUCUUCCCAAUCCCCGAUUCCCGAACAACAAAAUUUCCUAACUGCCAAAAGGCCGGCAACGCACUUGUAACGCCUCUGGUGUUGCAAAUGUCCAUGGGCGGCGGCGAUUGCUUACCAUCAAGUGAUCCGUCUGCUCGUUUAUAUAUCAUAAAAAGCUGCUUGUCUAGGGUGCUGUCUAGGUUUAAUCUCUUCUUGAUACAUGAAACCUAAAUAGAAUUAAGUACUUCGUCAAACAGUGAAUGUAUGCCGUAAAACAUAAUUAUUUAUAUAGAAGUACCCUUAGUAUUAGUUUGCUUUACGUUUAAAGUAAUCGAAACGAGAGCGCGUUCGGCGAUCUGAGGCCUUAGUACGAGUUUGUUUUACGAAACCAGAGCGAGUAUGGCGCUCUGAUUGGUUGGUUUAUUCGCACCAACCAAUCAGAGCGCCGAACGCUCUAUCAUUUCGUUUUCGUUCAACGAAGAGCAAACUCGUGCUAAGGGUACAGACAUUUUGUAUAACCGAACGAUGAGAUUUUUUUUUGAAACAAAGUAAAACCAUUGAAAUCUUUGUGAAUUUGGUUUGAUUUUGCACGACUUGUAUAUUAUAUGGGAAGUUUUGUAUGUGUAAAAGAUAAUAUAUGAAACUUUUAUAAAUAAAGAACUUAAAUAUAA